rnacentral:rRNA from 1 species
AUUGAACGCUGGCGGCAUGCCUAACACAUGCAAGUCGAGCGGAUGAAGGGAGCUUGCUCCUGGAUUCAGCGGCGGACGGGUGAGUAAUGCCUAGGAAUCUGCCUGGUAUUGGGGGAUAACGUCCGUAAACGGGCGCUAAUACCGCAUACGUCCUGAGUGGGAAAGUGGGGGAUCUUCGGACCUCACGCUAUCAGAUGAGCCUAGGUCGGAUUAGCUAGUUGGUGGGGUAAAGGCCUACCAAGGCGACGAUCCGUAACUGGUCUGAGAGGAUGAUCAGUCACACUGGAACUGAGACACGGUCCAGACUCCUACGGGAGGAAGAAGUGGGGAAUAUUGGACAAUGGGCGAAAGCCUGAUCCAGCCAUGCCGCGUGUGUGAAGAAGGUCUUCGGAUUGUAAAGCACUUUAAGUUGGGAGGAAGGGCAGUAAGUUAAUACCUUGCUGUUUUGACGUUACCAACAGAAUAAGCACCGGCUAACUUCGUG